rnacentral:rRNA from 1 species
GGGAUAUUGCACAAUGGGGGGAACCCUGAUGCAGCGACGCCGCGUGGGUGAAGAAGCGCCUCGGCGCGUAAAGCUCUGUCAGCAGGGAAGAAAGCAAUGACGGUACCGGACCAAGAAGCCCCGGCUAACUACGUGCCAGCAGCCGCGGUAAUACGUAGGGGGCAAGCGUUAUCCGGAAUUACUGGGUGUAAAGGGAGCGUAGACGGCUGUGCAAGUCUGGAGUGAAAGGCGGGGGCCCAACCCCCGGACUGCUCUGGAAACUGUAUGGCUGGAGUGCAGGAGAGGUAAGCGGAAUUCCUAGUGUAGCGGUGAAAUGCGUAGAUAUUAGGAGGAACACCAGUGGCGAAGGCGGCUUACUGGACUGUAACUGACGUUGAGGCUCGAAAGCGUGGGGAGCA